AUACGUAGGGGGCGAGCGUUGUCCGGAAUGAUUGGGCGUAAAGGGCGCGUAGGCGGCGCGGUAAGUCUGGAGUGAAAGUCCUGCUUUCAAGGUGGGAAUUGCUUUGGAUACUGCCGCGCUUGAGUGCAGGAGAGGUUAUCGGAAUUCCCGGUGUAGCGGGGAAAUGCGUAGAGAUCGGGAGGAACACCAGUGGCGAAGGCGGGUAACUGGACUGCAACUGACGCUGAGGCGCGAAAGUGUGGGGAGCAAACAGGAUUAGAUACCCUGGUAGUCCACACUGUAAACGAUGAAUGCUAGGUGUAAGAGGUAUCGACCCCUUUUGUGCCGGAGUCAACACAAUAAGCAUUCCGCCUGGGGAGUACGGCCGCAAGGUUGAAACUCAAAGGAAUUGGCGGGG
rnacentral:rRNA from 1 species